rnacentral:rRNA from 1 species
GAUGAACGCUGGCGGUAUGCUUAACACAUGCAAGUCGAACGGUCACUUCGGUGAUAGUGGCGGACGGGUGAGUAACGCGUGAGAAUCUGUCCUCAGGUCGGGGACAACAGUUAGAAAUGACUGCUAAUACCGGAUGUGCCUUUGGGUGAAAGAUUUAUUGCCUGAAAAAGAGCUCGCGUCAGAUUAGCUAGUAGGUGGUGUAAGAGACUACCUAGGCUCCGAUCUGUAGCUGGUCUGAGAGGACGAUCAGCCACACUGGAACUGAGACACGGUCCAGACUCCUACGGGAGGCAGCAGUGGGGAAUUUUCCGCAAUGGGCGAAAGCCUGACGGAGCAAUACCGCGUGAGGGACGAAGGCUUUUGGGUCGUAAACCUCUUUUCUCAAGGAAGAUGAUGACGGUACUUGGGGAAUAAGCAUCGGCUAACUCUGUG